UACGAAGGGGGCUAGCGUUGCUCGGAAUCACUGGGCGUAAAGCGCACGUAGGCGGAUUGUUAAGUCAGGGGUGAAAUCCUGGAGCUCAACUCCAGAACUGCCUUUGAUACUGAGGAUCUCGAGUUCGGGAGAGGUGAGUGGAACUGCGAGUGUAGAGGUGAAAUUCGUAGAUAUUCGCAAGAACACCAGUGGCGAAGGCGACUUACUGGACACAUAUUGACGCUGAGGUGCGAAAGCGUGGGGAGCAAACAGG
rnacentral:rRNA from 1 species